AGCAGAUCGUCAUGAGUGGCAUCACCAGUCAGGAGAAGUGGAUGGAAACCGAACUUGGGAUCCUGGAUGCUGACCAAACAGGAUGAUGAAGUGAACUCGAACUUCUCCAGGACUCAGUCAAUAUAGGAUAAUUGUGAACUGAAACCCAAGAAACAGUGAUUUCAUCCUGUUACACAACCAGGAGGCCUGGCCUAACAUCACUCAUCAAGUAGCCAGCUUGUCUGUAUAGGAAAUCUGGAAUAAGUUUAUGGUGUAUAGCUUAAUUGUAUCUCAUUUGAUGGAAGAACUGGAUGGAAAAGCAAGACAUUAGCGUCUUCCAAUUCGAUGGGAUUUUAUAUAAUAGAGCAUUGAUUCCAUGCUAACUUUCAUGUUUAUUACUGACUUCACUGCUGUGAAAUCAGCAAAGGUUAACUGUCUGGACAGCUGUGAGUCAAGCCUUCAAGCCAUGCUGCUUUAUCUGAUUGGUCUCAGACUUGAUCUGGCACAUGAAAGGAAAUGUGAGGAAGUUUCAAGCAGGGAUCAUUUUGCAAGUCCAGAGCUGAGGGUGAGGUCAAGUUCACUCACAUUUUUGGAGUAUCACAUUUCAAACAUAAAGUGCCAUGCAUAUAGCAUGAGGGUUGGUGGAGCAAUGGUUUAA
rnacentral:lncRNA from 1 species